rnacentral:rRNA from 1 species
CCUACGGGAGGCAGCAGUGGGGGAUAUUGCACAAUGGGGGAAACCCUGAUGCAGCGACGCCGCGUGGGUGAAGAAGCGCCUCGGCGCGUAAAGCCCUGUCAGCAGGGAAGAAAAUGACGGUACCUGAAGAAGAAGCCCCCGCUAACGACGUGCCAGCAGCCGCGGUAAUACGGGGGAUGCAAGCGUUAUCCGGGUUUAUUGGGUUUAAAGGGUGCGUAGGCUGUCAGGUAAGUCAGCGGUUGAAUGCCCCCGCUCAACGGGGUGAAGUGCCAUUGAUACUGCCUGGCUGGAAUGCGGAUGCCGUAGGAGGAAUGUGUGGUGUAGCGGUGAAAUGCAUAGAUAUCACACAGAACACCGAUUGCGAAGGCAUCUCACGAAUCCGCGAUUGACGCUGAUGCACGAAAGCGUGGGUAUCAAACAGGAUUAGAUACCCCAGUAGUC